UACGGAAGGCAGCAGUGGGGAAUAUUGCACAAUGGGCGAAAGCCUGAUGCAGCUAUGCCGCGUGUAUGAAGAAGGCCUUAGGGUUGUAAAGUACUUUUCAUCGGGGAGGAAAAAACAAAACUAAUAAUUUUAUUUCUUGACGUUACCCGAAAAAGAAGCACCGGCUAACUCCGUGCCAGCAGCCGCGGUAAUACGGAGGGUGCUAGCGUUAAUCAGAAUUACUGGGCGUAAAGAGCACGUAGGUGGUUUUUUUAAGUCAGAUGUGAAAUCCCUGGGCUUAACCUAGGAACUGCAUUUUGAAACUGAAAUACUAGAGUAUCGUAGAGGGAGGUAGAAUUCUAGGUGUAGCGGUGAAAUGCGUAGAUAUCUGGAGGAAUACCUGUGGCGAAAGCGGCCUCCUAAACGAAUACUGACACUGAGGGUGCGAAAGCGUGGGGAGCAAACAGGGAUUAGAUACA
rnacentral:rRNA from 1 species